UUAGAUCAAAAGUAUACAAAGCGAUGCAUAUGUGAAUAAGUGUAUGAAAGCAAAUGUGACCACAGUCCAUGUGACUAUGAUACAUUUGGCCAAUGUGUUAUGCCAUAAGAAUGUAUUCGAUUAAACUAUAAUAGAGGCAUUUAGAUUGGAGUGUAUUUAUGAGCUAAGUGUACCUUGUGAGCAUACGAAUAUUUGACCAUUUUGGUCAUUAUCAUGAAAUAAUUUGUGGUAACUAAAUGAUGUGGUUAUUGAAAUUAUAGUUCGUUAUGGAGCUCUAGA
rnacentral:lncRNA from 1 species